UCAAUUUUUUCGUCAAUUAAUUGAUAUCAAUUUAUUGACGUCAAUGAAUUGAUGGAGAAAUUGACCGUGUGUAGGGGACAUUGAUAUCAAUUUAAUUGAAACAAUUUCAUUGAAUCAAUUCAUUGAGAGAUCAAAGAUCCUUUGAUAUUUAUUGAUGGGUCUUCAAUAAAAUUGAUCGUGUGUGGGCAAAGCAUCAAUAUAUUGAUCAAUAAAUUAGUGUUUUCCCAGCAGUGAAAGAGUCGUCAUCGUAAUCAAGGCUGAAAAGAAGAAAGAAAGUGAGCGUAAAAUGAUGAUGGAGAUAAUUGACGUUUACAGAUCCUUACCGGCCUUGUGGAAAAUAAAAUCCGACGAGUACAGUGACAAGGAGAAAAAGGCUGACGCAUAUAAAAUAUUGUAUGGAAAAUACAAAGAACAUUAUCCAAAUGCUAGUUCCCUUUAACAGAGAUACCAUUUCUUCGCCCACUUACUCCUCUUCUUUCGCUUUGGAGUGUCCAGAGCAAGCACUUUUCCAAGAGCCACAGAUGCUUUCAUCUCGAAGUUAUGAAUCAAACUGAAAAUUGAAGUAAAAUCAUUGACCGUGUGUAGGCACAGUGAUUUCCUCAAUUUCAUUGUCGUCAAUAAAUUUAUAUCAAUUAAUUGACGAAAAAAUUGAUCGUGUGUAGGGGCCUUUUAAGUCUCACCUUCGUUGGGAUUGAGAAUAACAUCAACAUCGCCGUCCGCAUCAUGCAAAAGUUCAGUGUUUGAAAACAGUGCUAAGUAGUUUAUCGGAUUUUGACUUUUGUACUUCUUGGAUGACUUCUUCAGUUGAGUUUCUAGUAUGACGUACACUUCAGCCAAACCGAGACUGGACUACUUUGGGCAAUGGUACUAUGAGGGCCUCUUGGUAACUGUAUUUUUCAUUCCGAAAUACCGGGGUCUACGUGUGUGGAUGGAAGAAUACUUCAAUUGAAUAAGUACUUACUUGGACUAAAGCAGUUUUAGCAUAGUUACUAUACUAUGAGGUUAGAUCCUCUGCAGAACUGGGUUGAACAUCUAGAAUGAAAGUGCCUUUAAUGCAGCGUGGCUUCCAGCAAGUGUCACGUUAUGGAAGUAGCUGGAACGAGCUACUAGUUUCCUCAUCUUGACUUCCAGCAAGUUUCUCGUUAUGGAAGUAGCUAGAAAGAGCUACUAGUUUCCGCAACUUCGUUUCCAGCAAGUCUCACGUUAUAGAAGUAGCUGGAAGGGGCUACUAGU